CAUGCGCACUGGCUGGCUGCUCUUCUGGUUUCCAGCAUACGCGCAUGCUCCCGUUUUAGCACACGGUGCCGAAAAGAUUAUCCCAGAACUGAGGUGAGGCUUGAAAAGGAUUGGGGAUAUAUGGGGAAAAGGCUACAGGCAUCAAUAGGAUGAGGAGGACUGCAGCCACUUCACAAGGAGCAUUGAUGCUUUCACCAGAAAAAACAAGGGUCGCCUUUCUCUCUCCUGCUGACAAGGCGUACCUGCAUUUCAGCUGCCAGAUUCCCUUCCUAAAACAACUUGAUUUAGGACUGAUACUACGCUUUUCAGCAAAUUAAUUUAAUCCAAUGGAGGAUGGUGACAACAUGGAUAGUGACCUCUAUGCUUCUACUUAUUAUGUUUUCACCUUUUAUAUAAAUUUAUCAUGUCAUGUAGUUACAACACACACAUAUAAAAAGGGUGAUUUAGCUAAGCUAGGAGGCUAAGGAAUAGGGAGGAAAAGGCAAAAACUACUUUCCACUGUUGCCAAGAAGACAACAUGAAUGUGUUUCCAAACUUAGGAAUAGACUUUUACAUGAGGGAAAAUCUUUAAACUGAGAAUAGAACCAAUUUGUUUUUAUCAAAUUAAGAGUUUGGACAAUUCUUAAUUAGUUUCUUCGUUCCUGUUGAAUUUCCAGUCAUUCUAUGCUUGUUGUCACUUUAAAAAUUGGGUGUUUACAAAGCACCAAAGUCAUUUUUUUACCUUAAACAAAGCCAAACAGUUCAACCACACACAUGGGCUUGACCAGCAAAUCCAACUUGGAUGAUGUCAUUGAACAUGUUUGCUGGUAACAAAGUCCUUUUGCUUUGAUGGUGUCGAUUUUCCAAACAGCGUGUUGAGGCGAUGCCACCAUUUAUUAAUCUCUAAUGCACAGAUCAGCCAUAAAUUGUAUUUGAAAUUAACAGUUUAGCUUAGAAGUCCACAUACUUGGAAUUGGUGGUUGUUGUUUUUUGCUUGCAUCUUAAUUGAUGUUCCUAUAUUCUCUGCAUCAGGCUUAUAUAUAAAGAAAAGAGCUGCUAGCCUUGUACAGUGCCUGGCCUUGAUGUGCUAUCUUUCCCUCUAUUUCUCUGCUGUGUUCUCCCCCCUCCCCCUGCCCCUAAAGACCUUGUUGAGCUCUCUCUCCUCUUGGGAACAUAAACAAUCAACAUGACUAAAUCAACACAAUCAGUAAUUUUUCUUCCCCAAGGCUAUUCCCACCAUGGGAUGCUCUGUAACUCUCGUGAUGGUGCAGAAUCCGCUAAACAUUAUUAGCUUGGUUACCAGCAGCUAGCCAGCUGCCCUCUCUCUUCUCUGCUCCUCCCAUCCUCAAUUCUGCCUGUACACAGAUUGUUUAUCAAAAGGAGGUGCCAG